CACUGAGUCAGUCAUACUCAGAGAGAGAACUGGAAGUCUUGACUAUCAAAGUUAUUGUCUUUCAUUAGUGUAGAUGUUGCCCCUCGUAUUUAUUAUAUUUUCUCUCCUAAAAGAGAAUGCUGGUGAAGAUGUCAUAAAACCUGUCUUGACAGAGAAGCAGGUUUUAGAAGAAAAAGAUGUUACACUGAUCUGCAGCUACACUGGCACUGUUCAGAGUUUACAAUGGUAUCGUCAGUAUCCCGGAUCCAAACCUGAGCACCUCAUUAUGUUCAUUGAGACCAUCCUCAAAUCAGAGCCUGCUCUCCGUCUGACCGCUGCAGCUGAUAAAGCAGCCAAAAGUAUGAAUCUGACCAUCUCUUCUACAGAAGUGAAAGACUCUGCCGUGUACUAUUGUGCCCUGGUGCCCACAGUGACAGGAAACACAACUGCACUGUACAAAAACAGAGUGAGAAAGGAUAUUUAAGACAGAAGAUGAUGAUGAUGCACAAUGCGGAUUUU